rnacentral:lncRNA from 1 species
UCUAGCUCUAAAUUAAUGACUUUUUUCCUACAUGUCUAUAUCCCUUCUUCUUGGAGUUAAGGUAUUGUGUAGAGAAGGGUUGUGGUUAAUUGAAAUAUACUGAAAAAAAGUCAUCAACACAAAAAAGGUUUUCAUUUCCCAGGCAACAAUCAAGAUUCUAAGAACUUCACAAAGGAUGGAUAAAUAAACGGAGGAGUGGAGGAUGAGAAGAUAAAGAGAGUAAGUUUCCCAGGUUGUAGAUAUUGAGCAAAAACUUAAGAUCCCUGAGCAUUUGCCAAAAGAAGAUAGAAUAUUUGUUUCAGAGAUGGAAGAAUAUUAAGAUGGAAAUUAGGAAGUAGGAAAACAUUGGAGACACAUCUCCUCAAUUCUCCAUAAUUGCUGGGAUAGGAGUGUAUUGCUCCAAUCUUGUUGCUGUAUUUAUAGCUCUAUAAAGUGAAUCAUAAGCCAAGGGUUUUGAUGAACUGAUCCUUUAAGGCAUGGAAUUCAGAUGCUAACUUCUGUCAGAUAUGUAGCACUCUAUGGAUUUUACUCCCUCAUUUCACUCCUAAGCUGGGGAAAUAACUACAAUCCCAGCAGGGUAUAUAUGGGAAUGGAGUAACUGUUAUUUUCUCUCCCUGUGUUCUGCCUUCAUGCAAAAGUUGUUCUUAGAAGAUGGAGGUAUUCCUCACAAUACCGCCAUCCCGUAGCCCAUUGCACCCAACUUCUCAUCUGAGAUACCUGGCCAUAGUGAAUGCACGGAAAUGCCCUACAGACAUCUUCAAGUCUCCUAUGCUAUUAAGCAAAAGAGGAAGAAACCUCUCUAAAAUGAGAGAGAUGGUCCCUGGGCAGCUGCUUCUCAGAAACAUGGUGCUCACUUAUAAUCUAUGGCACAUAGUAGGUAUUCAAGAAGACCUGAAGGUCACAUUUGCUUCCAGGGAAACAAAAGAGGACAAAUACAAAUCCAAGAACUCAGUUCUGUAUCUCUCAGCUGCUCCUUUAUAUAGAACAGGAAUAGAGAGGUGUAUACUAUCCCUUUCUGUUACAGGUGCUAACAGAGAGAGCAAUUUUCCCUUGAGCAUAUCAACCAACAAGCAUUUUUAAUUACCAAUGGC